UACGUAGGGGGCUAGCGUUGUCCGGAAUCAUUGGGCGUAAAGCGCGUGUAGGCGGUCCGGUAAGUCCGCUGUGAAAGUCGAGGGCUCAACCCUCGAAUGCCGGUGGAUACUGUCGGGCUAGAGUACGGAAGAGGCGAGUGGAAUUCCUGGUGUAGCGGUGAAAUGCGCAGAUAUCAGGAGGAACACCAACGGCGAAGGCAGCACUCUGGGCCGGUACUGACGCUGAGGAGCGAAAGCGUGGGGAGCAA
rnacentral:rRNA from 1 species